AGCUCGUGUCGUGAGAUGUUCGGUUAAGUCCGCUAACGAGCGCAACCCUCGCUGUGUGUUAUAUGUGUCACACGGGACUGCCGGUCUUAAGCCGGAGGAAGGUGGGAUGAUGUCAAGUCAGCAUGGCCUUUAUAUCCUGGGCUACACACACGCUACAAUGGCCAACACAAUAGGUUGCUAAGCCGCGAGGUGGCGCCAAUCCAUAAAGUUGGUCUCAGUUCAGAUUGUAGGCUGCAACCCGCCUGCAUGAAGAUGGAGUUGCUAGUAACCGCAGGUCAGCUAUACUGCGGUGAAUACGUUCCCGGGGCUU
rnacentral:rRNA from 1 species